GGAAUAUUGGUCAAUGGACGAGAGUCUGAACCAGCCAAGUCGCGUGAAGGAUGACUGCCCUAUGGGUUGUAAACUUCUUUUACACGGGAAUAAAGUUCGCCACGUGUGGCGUUUUGCAUGUACCGUUUGAAUAAGGAUCGGCUAACUCCGUGCCAGCAGCCGCGGUAAUACGGAGGAUCCCAGCGUUAUCCGGAUUUAUUGGGUUUAAAGGGUGCGUAGGCGGUUUUUUAAGUCAGUCGUGAAAUUUCGGGGCUCAACCUUGAGCUUGCGGUUGAUACUGUUAGACUUGAGUAUAGUGGAAGUCGGCGGAAUUCGUGGUGUAGCGGUGAAAUGCUUAGAUAUCACGAGGAACUCCAAUCGCGAAGGCGGCCGGCUAUACUUUUACUGACGCUGAUGCACGAAAGUGUGGGUAUCAAACAGGAUUAGAUACCCUGGUAGUCCACACCGUAAACGAUGAAUACUCGUUGUGGGCGAUAUAGUGUCCGCGACCAAGCGAAAGCGUUAAGUAUUCCACCUGGGGAGUACGCCGGCAACGGUGAAACUCAAAGGAAUUGACGGGGGCCCGCACAAGCGGAGGAACAUGUGGUUUAAUUCGAUGAUACGCGAGGAACCUUACCCGGGCUUGAAUCGCGCUCGUAUAUGCCUGAAAUGGCAUAGCCGCAAGGGCGAGCGUGAAGGUGCUGCAUGGUUGUCGUCAGCUCGUGCCGUGAGGUGUCGGCUUAAGUGCCAUAACGAGCGCAACCCUAAUCGUUAGUUACUAUCAGGUAAUGCUGAGGACUCUAUCGAGACUGCCGUCGUAAGAUGUGAGGAAGGUUGGGAUGACGUCAAAUCAGCACGGCCCUUACGUCCGGGGCUACACACGUGUUACAAUGGGGGGUACAACGGGUCGCCACCAAGCGAUUGGGCGCUAAUCCUUAAAACCUCUCUCAGUUCGGAUCGAAGUCUGCAACCCGACUUCGUGAAGCUGGAUUCGCUAGUAAUCGCGCAUCA
rnacentral:rRNA from 1 species